rnacentral:rRNA from 1 species
AUGGCAGAAGUUGAGUAUGCCAACAUACAUGCAUUGACUCUUGUGCACGUCUACGGAAAGUUGGAAACACUGAAGAGAGAUAGGAAACCCAAGUUUGAGUUUGAGGAGGUGGAGCCCUCCAGGAAGGGAAGGUAUUUGACAAAGAGGCGUUUGAAGCUCCAGAGGAAGUGGGAAAAGAGGAAGAGGAAGGAGGCCAAUAAAAAUGAUCCACGGCAAUAUCAGACCCAAGGGGGAAGAACAAAAUAG